rnacentral:misc_RNA from 1 species
UGGUGAUGCUCUGUGUUGGG